rnacentral:rRNA from 1 species
UACGUAGGGUGCGAGCGUUAAUCGGAAUUACUGGGCGUAUAGCGUGCGCAGGCGGUUGUGCAAGACAGAUGUGAAAUCCCCGGGCUUAACCUGGGAACUGCAUUUGUGACUGCACAGCUGGAGUGCGGCAGAGGGGGAUGGAAUUCCGCGUGUAGCAGUGAAAUGCGUAGAUAUGCGGAGGAACACCGAUGGCGAAGGCAAUCCCCUGGGCCUGCACUGACGCUCAUGCACGAAAGCGUGGGGAGCAAACAGG